CAGCAGCCACGGUAAUACGUAGGUGGCAAGCGUUGUCCGGAUUAUUGGGCGUAAAGGGCUCGCAGGCGGUUUCUUAAGUCUGAUGUGAAAGCCCCCGGCUCAACCGGGGAGGGUCAUUGGAAACUGGGAAACUUGAGUGCAGAAGAGGAGAGUGGAAUUCCACGUGUAGCGGUGAAAUGCGUAGAGAUGUGGAGGAACACCAGUGGCGAAGGCGACUCUCUGGUCUGUAACUGACGCUGAGGAGCGAAAGCGUGGGGAGCGAACAGGAUUAGAUACCCGAGUAGUCCCUGUCUCUUAUACA
rnacentral:rRNA from 1 species